AAAAAAGGGAGGAAAAGAAUAAAGAAUAGGGCUUUUUUUGCUAUUUGAGUGUUAGGACUCCUCUCGAAAUUACAUUUUUAAUAAUGUUUAAUUUGAGCUGUUGGAUAAAUAUUUUUAUUGUCGGAUACUGGAUGCUGAAGUUAGCAAUUUCAAUUGCAAUUUAGUGUUACAAGUACUAUCUAUAUUCAUGUAUAUCAGGUAUGUGUUCAAUUUGAAAAAGUGUGCACCUCACUUUUCGCUCCCAUUGGAAUUGCUGCUAUUUUUGCGUCCUUUGCUUUUGAAGACACUGUUCUUCACUAGAAGAUGAUUGAUAUUGGUAUUUUACCUUCCUUCUGUGUAGAUAUGCCAAUCGAAGCUUAAGCCACUUUAUCUAGUUUCCCUUCUUCAAAGUCUGCAAGGGGAGAAAUCAAUUGUUUUCACAUCAUCUGUGGAGUCCACUCAUAGAUUAUGCACCUUGCUUAAGUUUUUCGACAAUUUGCAAAUUGAGUUCAAGGAGUACUCUCGUCUUCAACGUCAAUCUUUAAGAAGCAAGACGUUGAGCGCCUUCAGGGCAGGACAAGUGCAAGUGCUUAUUUCUUCUGAUGCUAUGACUCGUGGAAUGGAUGUUGAAGGAGUUAGAAAUGUCGUUAACUAUGACAUGCCUGCGUAUAUAAAAACAUUUAUUCAUCGGGUGGGUCGAACUGCAAGAGCAGGCCAAAGUGGGUGUUGCUUUACUUUAUUACGCAAAGACGAGGUUAAGCGGUUCAAGAAGCUGUUACAAAAAGCUGACUGUGACUCUUGCCCCACCUAUUCUGUUUCUUCUGAAGUUAUAGAGUCACUCAACUCUGUGUAUACCUCAGCUUUGGAGAAACUUAGAGAGAAUGUUGAAUCGGAAAAGUUUAAGAAGAGCAAGAUUAGAUUGAAGUCUUCAAAUGUCAGAAAGGAGAAGUGAAAAGCUGCCGCGGGGAUAACUUCCAUUUUCUUAACCAGUGUAGUACUGAAUUGCCAACCAAAUUAUGAUUACACCAUAGUUCAACUCGAGCUGCUCUGGCUUUUACUAUGGUCACUGAGUUAAUGCAUAAGCUGGUAAUUUAUGAAGCAAGCAGAUUCCAUUUUUGUUCAAUGGAAAAGGAAGCUAAGAAUGUCGAUCGAUUACAUGUGAACAGUCCUUAUUUAUGUGGAAAUACUGCUACUGCACUGAGCAACAGCUAUGGAAGUGGCUGUAAAGAUGAGAGGGUGUCUCCAGCGAGUCAAAAGGAUGAUACCAGGAGGAGGAACAAGGACAAGGGGGUUAUGGUGCUGAUAUCUCAUGAAUCAGACCACAGUACCAAUGAAAGAGGAAAAAUAGGGGAAAAGGAAUGAGGAGCAGAAGAAGGAUGAAUUCCUGAUAGCAAGGAAACAGAGGACGUAGGAGAGCCUCAAAUGGGGUAAGCAAACAAUUUUCUCAAGAUCAUGGAAACUGGAAACUAAAAAUGUCAUUAGAACUAGACUCGCAAAAGAGAACAAGGAGUAUCUGAAGAUUGAGGUUGGAGGGCCAACUCACUCACACGUGAAGAAUUAAGCUUCAUUAGACAAUGGACGCUUUUCAUUCUGUUUUUUUUUACUUUUUGUUUGAAAAAACACAGAAAGAAUGGGUUGUGAGAGAAUUUUGGGAAUUGUAUAUUCAAUGAUGUACUAAUUCU